NNNNNNNNNGUUUGAUGGUACGUGCUACUCGGAUAACCGUAGUAAUUCUAGAGAUAAUACGUGCAACAAACCCCGACUUUUGGGAGGGGCGCAUUUAUUAGAUAAAAGGCUGACGUGGGCUCUGCUCGUUGAUCCGAUGAUUUAUGAUAACUCGACGGAUCGCAUGGCCUUUGUGCCGGUGACGCAACAUUCAAAUUUCUUCCCUAUCAACUUUUGAUGGUAGGAUAGGGGCCUACCAUGGUGGUGAUGGGUGACGGAGAAUUAGGGUUCGAUUCCG
rnacentral:rRNA from 16 species